rfam:Picea glauca, whole genome shotgun sequence.
AUGUAAUGUAAUUCCUACAACAUUAAUGCAUCAUAUCUCAUUAUAAGUCUUCAUUUAAGUGUGAUUGGGCUAUAGUAGUACUGGGAUGGGUGACCUCCUGGGAAGUCCUAGUGUUUUACAUG